rnacentral:rRNA from 1 species
AUUGAACGCUGGCGGCAGGCCUAACACAUGCAAGUCGAGCGAGCGGCGGACGGGUGAGUAAUGUAUGGGGACUGCCCGAUAGAGGGGGAUAACUACUGGAAACGGUGGCUAAUACCGCAUACUAUCGGAUAACCCAUAUGGUAUUAGAUCGUUGGUGAGGUAAUGGCUCACCAAGGCGACGAUCCCUAGCGGGUCUGAGAGGAUGAUCAGCCACACUGGGACUGAGACACGGCCCAGACUCCUACGGAGGCAGCAGUGGGGAAUAUUGCACAAUGGGCGCAAGCCUGAUGCAGCCAUGCCGCGUGUAUGAAGAAGGCCUUAGGGUUGUAAAGUACUUUCAGUGGGGAGGCGUUACCGUCAGAAGAAGCACCGGCUAACUCCGUGCCAGCAGCCGCGGUAAUUC